GCUACCACUCGGGGGAGCCGGGAAGACCGGCUGAGAGGUCCCACGGAGCCUGCCGAGAACCGUCGAGAGGAAGGCCGGCUGCAAGGCGCACACUGCGCAGCGACUGAAGCAUACCUGGUCAGGUAGGUGAAGGAGCGAGCAGUGCGCAACGCCGCAGACGGCCUCCGCAACAGGUUCUCGGCAGGCUACAAGGGCGGGACGACCCUUAGAACCUGAACCGGGUAAUACCGGCGCAGGAAGAGUGCGGCAACCGUUC
rnacentral:ncRNA from 1 species